rnacentral:rRNA from 1 species
UACAGAGGGGGCAAGCGUUGUUCGGAAUUACUGGGCGUAAAGGGCGCGUAGGCGGCCUUCUAAGUCGAACGUGAAAUCCCUGGGCUCAACCCAGGAACUGCGUCCGAUACUGGAAGGCUUGAAUCCGGGAGAGGGAUGCGGAAUUCCAGGUGUAGCGGUGAAAUGCGUAGAUAUCUGGAGGAACACCGGUGGCGAAGGCAGCUCGCUGGGACGGUACUGACGCUGAGGCGCGAAAGCGUGGGGAGCAAACAGG